rnacentral:rRNA from 1 species
CCCUUUGUUGUCCGACUCUGUUGCCUCCGGGGCGACCCUGCCUUCGGGCGGGGGCUCCGGGUGGACACUUCAAACUCUUGCGUAACUUUGCAGUCUGAGUAAACUUAAUUAAUAAAUUAAAACUUUUAACAACGGAUCUCUUGGUUCUGGCAUCGAUGAAGAACGCAGCGAAAUGCGAUAAGUAAUGUGAAUUGCAGAAUUCAGUGAAUCAUCGAAUCUUUGAACGCACAUUGCGCCCCCUGGUAUUCCGGGGGGCAUGCCUGUUCGAGCGUCAUUUCACCACUCAAGCCUCGCUUGGUAUUGGGCAUCGCGGUCCGCCGCGUGCCUCAAAUCGACCGGCUGGGUCUUCUGUCCCCUAAGCGUUGUGGAAACUAUUCGCUAAAGGGUGUUCGGGAGGCUACGCCGUAAAACAACCCCAUUUCUAAGGUUGACCUCGGAUCAGGUAGGGAUACCCGCUGAACUUAAGCA